GAUGAACGCUAGCUACAGGCUUAACACAUGCAAGUCGAGGGGCAGCAUGACAGGAUUUCGGUCCUGUUGAUGGCGACCGGCGGAUGGGUGCGUAACGCGUAUCCAACCUGCCCCCGUCCCGGGUAUAGCCGUGGGAAACCGCGAUUAACACCCGAUGGUGCGUGACGGCCGCAUGACGGUCACGCCAAAUGCGAAGGACGGGGAUGGGGAUGCGUUCCAUUAGGCAGUCGGCGGGGUAACGGCCCACCGAGCCCGCGAUGGAUAGGGGUUCUGAGAGGAAGGUCCCCCACACUGGCACUGAGACACGGGCCAGACUCCUACGGGAGGCAGCAGUGAGGAAUAUUGGUCAAUGGGCGCGAGCCUGAACCAGCCAAGUAGCGUGAAGGAUGACGGCCCUAUGGGUUGUAAACUUCUUUUGUUUGGGAAUAAAGUGGGGCACGCGCUGCCCCUUUGUAUGUACCUUGCGAAUAAGCAUCGGCUAAUUCCGUGCCAGCAGCCGCGGUAAUACGGAAGAUGCGAGCGUUAUCCGGAUUUAUUGGGUUUAAAGGGAGCGUAGGCGGACUGUUAAGUCAGCGGUGAAAUGUCAGGGCCCAACCCUGGCUUGCCGUUGAUACUGUCGGUCUUGAAUGCACCCAAGGGUGGUGGAAUUCGUCGUGUAGCGGUGUAAUGCUUAGAUAUGACGAAGAACUCCGAUUGCGAAGGCAGCCACCUGGAGUGUGAUUGACGCUGAGGCUCGAAAGUGCGGGUAUCAAACAGGAUUAGAUACCCUGGUAGUCCGCACAGUAAACGAUGGAUGCUCGUCAUUGGCGAUACACGGUCAGUGACCAAGCGAAAGCAUUAAGCAUCCCACCUGGGGAGUACGCCGGCAACGGUGAAACUCAAAGGAAUUGACGGGGGCCCGCACAAGCGGAGGAACAUGUGGUUUAAUUCGAUGAUACGCGAGGAACCUUACCCGGGCUUGAAUUGCAGGAGAACGAUACAGAGAUGUUGAGGCCCUUUGGGGCUCCUGUGAAGGUGCUGCAUGGUUGUCGUCAGCUCGUGCCGUGAGGUGUUGGCUUAAGUGCCAUAACGAGCGCAACCCCUUUCCUCAGUUGCCAUCGGGCGAUGCCGGGCACUCUGGGGACACUGCCUCCGUAAGGAGUGAGGAAGGUGGGGAUGACGUCAAAUCAGCACGGCCCUUACGUCCGGGGCUACACACGUGUUACAAUGGGACAUACAGCGCGUCGGCGUCCGGCAACGUGCGUCAAAUCGUGAAAGUGUCCCCCAGUUCGGAUUGGGGUCUGCAACCCGACCCCAUGAAGCUGGAUUCGCUAGUAAUCGCGCAUCAGCCAUGGCGCGGUGAAUACG
rnacentral:rRNA from 1 species